rnacentral:misc_RNA from 1 species
UUCAUUAUCAUCUGUUUGUUGAAAGCAUGCAUGUGUUCAUGCACCCAUGCUCAUUCUAAAAAAAAAAAAGGACUACUGAAUUAUAAAUUUACUACGGAAGGAUUGUCUGAAAAUAUUUACAACCAGAACAAGGAGCUCUAUCUAAAGCACAAUUUCACCCAUCAGGAGCAUCACUAGCCUUCACAAAUCGACCCUUCACUCGCUUCCUAGAAUCAGCUCUUGCCUUUCUUGAUUCAUAACGUAUG